rnacentral:rRNA from 1 species
AUUGAACGCUGGCGGCAGGCCUAACACAUGCAAGUCGAGCGGAUGAAGGGAGCUUGCUCCUGGAUUCAGCGGCGGACGGGUGAGUAAUGCCUAGGAAUCUGCCUGGUAGUGGGGGAUAACGUCCGGAAACGGGCGCUAAUACCGCAUACGUCCUGAGGGAGAAAGUGGGGGAUCUUCGGACCUCACGCUAUCAGCUGAGCCUAGGUCGGAUUAGCUAGUUGGUGGGGUAAAGGCCUACCAAGGCGACGAUCCGUAACUGGUCUGAGAGGAGGAUCAGUCACACUGGAAAUGAGAAACGGUCAAGACUCCUACGGGAUGCAGCAGUGGGGAAUAUUGGACAAUGAGCGAAAGCCUGAUCCAGUCAUGCAGCGUGUGUGAAGAAGGUCUUCGGAUUGUAAAGCACUUUAAGUUGGGAGGAAGGGCAGUAAGUUAAUACCUUGCAGUUUUGAAGUUACAAACAGAAUAAGCACCGGAUAACUUCGUG